AAUUAAUUUUUUCCUAAUAUAGUUUUAUAAUUUGUAAUAAAUAAUAACAGUUAGACAGUUCUGCGUUAUGCGUUAUACAGGGUACCUCUAAAGUCUGAUCCAACUCUUGGAUCUCGAAAACAACUUUAAAUAUGGAAAAAACAUAAACAUAGCUUUACAAAAUAGUCAACUAUAGUGUUCGUGCUGUAGCCUAUAAAACGGGGAGGGAUAUAACAAAUAUGGUAUAUUAUGAGUUGCUGAAUCUUACUCGGAUUGUUACUACAGAGCGUUCCCAACUACGUUAGCAACUAGUUAAUUGGAGCAAAAGGAACAAUGUAUUGGCUAGCAAACUAGUGUUUUUGCAAAUCUUUGUGCAGCUUAAUAAUGCUCUGCCAUCGGUCGUAAAAGAGACGAAGAAUAUUAUCUAUGAGUAGACCAGGAAAUUAUCUCUCAUGCGAUCUAUUUCUACUAAAAUAAUGGAGAUUAUUUCGAAGAUUUUUACUUAAAUUGGACUUUUAGAGAAUACACUUUGAAUUUCGUGAAAAAGCACAGAAUUAAUUUUCACAUCUAAUUCUCGUAGUAACAUUAUUUUAAUACUCUACUUCAAUAUAAGCGUUCACAGUUUAUUUAAUAAAAAA